rnacentral:rRNA from 1 species
UGAACGCUGGCGGCGUGCCUACUACAUGCACGUCGAGCGAACAGAUGCGGAGCUUGCUCCUCUGACGUUAGCGGCGGACGGGUGAGUAACACGUGGAUAACCUACCUAUAAGACUGGGAUAACUUCGGGAAACCGGAGCUAAUACCGGAUAAUAUAUUGAACCGCAUGGUUCAAUAGUGAAAGACGGUUUUGCUGUCACUUAUAGAUGGAUCCGCGCCGCAUUAGCUAGUUGGUAAGGUAACGGCUUACCAAGGCAACGAUGCGUAGCCGACCUGAGAGGGUGAUCGGCCACACUGGAACUGAGACACGGUCCAGACUCCUACGGGAGGCAGCAGUAGGGAAUCUUCCGCAAUGGGCGAAAGCCUGACGGAGCAACGCCGCGUGAGUGAUGAAGGUCUUCGGAUCGUAAAACUCUGUUAUUAGGGAAGAACAAAUGUGUAAGUAACUAUGCACGUCUUGACGGUACCUAAUCAGAAAGCCACGGCUAACUACGUG